rnacentral:lncRNA from 1 species
UUACAAGGUCUGCCAUGCUACGGUGGCAUCAUGAGAAAUAUUCUUCAGAGAUACCCAUUACUAACACAAUCGCGCACAUAAUAGUCCUUGGCUGAUUGAUUUGGCUGAUUGCAAACACAAGCACACAAAACACAAAAAUUCAGUUGAUGGUCACACGUAUGCAUCGUUCUCAUAUCAAUUCUUUACUGUAUUCCAAUUGAGGUGCAGUUCGUGGCACCUAUUCACCCUGUCCGCUCGGCCGUCGCGGUGAUUGCCUGCUCGCCAUUGGUGCCGACCGCUCACCACUGGCAGUCUCCGCCGGCUCCCUGUCACCUCUUGCGCGGUCGCACCACUCCGCGUGUUCCCUGGUCGCCGCUCGCCCAUCUCGCUCACUGCCCAAUGUUGUUGGUUAGAAUGCAGGCCUGCAGGUAAUCCAUGGACAGGUUGUAGUUCUGCUUGGGAUCAGUCUUUGGUAGGAGUCAAUCCAUCUAGCACACAAAACAUAUCCACUCUCAGAUAGAAAAGUUACAUAAACUCAUUUACGAAAUACCCUGCUCUAAACUAACUCAUGUGAAAAAAAUGAAUCUAGUAAAAGUGCAAAUUAGCAGCAGUAAAAAUUGUAAGAAGCCCAGUGACAGAGCUUGAGCAUAAUCCAAGAUGGGGCCAUCAGCUGAAGGUAGGCAAAUUAACAGGAGAGGAGGGGCUAAUCUCUAGUUUAAACACUAGCUAGUUGGGCCUAAAAUAGAGCAUAUUCUGCAAUGGUUGUAAAAGUUAAUNNNNNNNNNNNNNNNNNNNNNNNNNNNNNNNNNNNNNNNNNNNNNNNNNNNNNNNNNNNNNNNNNNNNNNNNNNNNNNNNNNNNNNNNNNNNNNNNNNNNNNNNNNNNNNNNNNNNNNNNNNNNNNNNNNNNNNNNNNNNNNNNNNNNNNNNNNNNNNNNNNNNNNNNNNNNNNNNNNNNNNNNNNNNNNNNNNNNNNNNNNNNNNNNNNNNNNNNNNNNNNNNNNNNNNNNNNNNNNNNNNNNNNNNNNNNNNNNCCCUCAGCUCAAACUAUAAUAUAGCUAAAAAACUAAUUAAUUUAACAAUUGUGUUAUAUAUGAAUUAAACAACCACUUGAUCGAAGAUUCAAUAAUUGAAACACUGCAAUUUUAUUUAGGAAUAAGUACAUUUUUCGUUCCUUAAUUCUUUUGAAAGUAUAGAGAUGGUCCCACAACUCCAAAACCAGUAAAAUUUAGCCUCUCAACUUUCAAAACCGGAUAAAGUUAGUUCCUGCCUCGGUCAAACCUGGUUUAUCUAUGACGUGGCAUGGCAAAGCGGUAUUGAACAGUCCAUGUAAAGCACAGCCGGCAACACUGGAGACAGGUACGACACGGGGUGAGGCGCCCCGUGCUUUUCCUGCUGGCUGCACCCUCCUUGGCGCUCCAUCCAGUGGCGGAGGAGACGGGCGAUUUGUUGCAUGACGGCGACGGCGGCGCUCCAGCAUGUGGUGAGACGGAGGCGAGUUGUCGCACGUCGACAAUUUCCAGCGCAGGCACGACAAUGGAGGUCAUGGGCGCAUCUAUGGCAGCAGCCCCGUGGAGGAUCCUCGCUUCCUCGGCCCCGCGGAGGCCUGAGGUGCAGAGGCCGUUGCAUGGCGCUGGUCUACUCGGCAACAACGGCCGUGUGCUGUAGAUGGGCUUGUAUCCUGAACCUCAUAUCCACCCACAAGCAUGACCCCCGCCCCUCCACGUUCGUGCAAUCAUGCCUGGGCUGCUAUCAGGAGCAUCUUCAACAUCUGGAGCUUGUACCAAUGUACCAUGCAUGUACUCGUCAAAAAAAAAAAAUGUACCAUGCAUGCGCGGCCUCAUGUACACGUCGCUGAGGUGGCCGGGGAGGUGUGGUGCGGCGAGGCGCGCAGGGCAGCCCAAAAUGGGGCGUGACUUGUCAGUCGUUGGUGAUAAUCGGUCGUGGCAAGCUGCAGCAAGCACGACUGUGUACAUGCAGACAUUGCAUGCUAUGUGCUCGAUGAAAUGUACACACUUUAGAUAGAUGAAAGGAAAGAGAAAUAUUGCCACAUGGACCAAAGACCGGUCAAACAUGUAUGACGUGUUUGGUUUUAGGCAAAAUCGUGUCCAUGUCGGUAGGAAACCACUUGAAAACGGUAUGAGGGAUUAAACUUAUCCGGUUUUAAAAGUUCAGGGACUAAGCUUUGCUGGUUUUGAAGUCGAGAGACCAUUUUUGUACUUCUAAAAAAAUUGAGGGAGGGGAAAUAUUUUUUCCCUUUUAUUUAUAUGGACAUAUACUAAAGACAAUUUAGGCAUGGAAGAGAAAAGCAUCACCUCCAAUCAUUAACAUUGCAUUAUUCCGACGUAGAAUUGGCACUGACUCCUCUAGAUGAACAGCGAUUCCAAUGUACCUCUUACAGGAAUAGCAAGUCCAGUGUCAACGGCAAUAUACAAUAGUAAGAAGCAUCUGAAAUCUCGAGGUCCAUAGCAAUUAGAGUCCUUCUUAAGAACUUUUCCUGCUUCGAUAACCACAUAUGAGCUGGCCAGAGAAGCGUGAACAAUGAAUGCAUUACUGGUCACAUCUCUCUCUCUCUCUCUCUCUCUCUCUCUCUCAAAUAGAGCACUACAUUCCACACCAAUUAAUCAGUGAUUGCAUCAUAACACAGUGGAUUAUCUUGAUCAACUCCUAACAGGAUUCAAGUCAGCAUUGGAAUCUGCAGGAGGACCGUGGAUCAGCAAUCUGAGGAAGGAAAUAGUCGUGACAAAAAUAAUAAAGAUGCUGUAAUCACUUGAUAUAUAAGCAUGCCCAUUACAUAAUAGUGUAAAAUAACUGAUUAAUUAGAACAAUACGAACAGAACUGAAAAUAUCCUGUUAAAUUAGGAAAUCAGAAACAUUGUUCAGCUUACUAAAAAUCAAGCUUCAUUUAACAACAUGAGAGCUCAAACUAAGUUCAGAUGGCUUCUGUUCAAGAAAACGUUCAGCACUGUAGUGCUAUUGCUCUAUGCUAAAAUACAAUUCCCAAGCAAGAGGGAAUUCACACAACUUUGAUGAUUCAAGAUGCUGCCGCUGAAGCCAUUCUUGUCCCGUACUACAAAACAAAGAUCAAAGCAAUUCAUCGCCAUAACAAAAGAGGUGCAAUGUGUAAUUAUGCUACCAAUAAUAGUUCAAACUGUCACCAGAUCAUGAGCAUAGGGUGUAACACAAUUUAGGCAGUGUUAAACCCCGAUUUUCUCAUGGCUUGUGAGAAAUUCAAACAAUAGCCAUCGGCCAUUGCCAUGGAGUCUGAUAUCUCCUACCCUGAAAAAUCUCAUACUAGCAGCUCCAGGUGCGAAAGUGCCUUUCUGUUCCCGAGCUCAUUUGAGCUCGGUGAACAGUAAAAUAAAAAAAAAUUCAAAAAAUUCCAAUUUUUUUUGGGAGAAACAUUUACAAAAGUUCUAAGUGCUUGCAAAAAUUCAUCAUGAAAUCACAUUCCUGUAAAGCGUGGCAAAAAAAACAAAUUCAAUGCUCCAAAAUGCUUUUGAAAGUAGCUUUUUCAGAGUACUGAUUUUGUUUUUUUUUGCCACGCCUUUUAGAAAUAUGAUUUCAUGGCGAAUUUUUGCAAGCACUUAGAACUUUUGUCAAUGUUUCUUCCAAAAAAAUUGGAUUUUUUUAAAUUUUUUUAUUUAGUUUUGAUUUUACUGUUCACCCGAGCUCAUUUGAGCUCGGGUGCAGAAACUCAGGUGAUGAUUCAACACUUAUAUUUAAGAAAUAUUCCUAAGCCAACGCAAAUCAAGAUGAUCGGGCAUCGACAGUGUCGCCGUCUCCGAGGCGUUGCAGGUGUGGUUGGUAAUGAGGCCCACUAUCGCGUCCCCUCGCCGGGCCUCCGGACAAUGGCGAUGAGGAUCUGGCGGGAUGAGAUUCACGCAGCAGCGAGGAAGAUCUAGUGGGAUUUCGGUCGCCUGUAUGCGGACAGCCGAACCGCGGAUCCGGUGGAGGUCGCCCGAUUCCCAGCGUCAGAUCAUCUCCCCACUGCCCUGAGGUCGUCCACAAGCGGCCACCUCUGCCCUGAGAUUCAUCCAUGAUUCCAUGGGACAGAAUCACUGUCGCACGCGUGGUGCUCGACGCCUUGACAACACCGUGUAGGAGGUCAUGACAAAGUGCAGAGGUGCCUCCCGUGUGGCGGCGGUCUCGGAGAUGGCGGCGCCAAGGUUCGAGAGGAGGGAAUGGCAAUUUGGGGGCGGUAGGGGGUCUUGGUCCAGAGGCUGAUAGUCGUUGGCUAUGAGGAGAGGACGGCGGCGUGUGGGCGUCGAGGAGGUGCAGGCGACGGCAAGACCCUUAUGUCAUCGGGAUCGAGGUCCAGGGCGUGUGUUGGGUUAACGUGCCGGCCAAAGUUGGCUGCUGUGAAAGGUGGGCGUGGAAUACAGUCAGGCGAAAUAUAGGAGCGGUGGGAGGAGGAUGGGAUGUGAGGCGAAAAUACCAACUCCAUAGGAGUAGAGAGAUAUUAUAAUGUCAUGUCAUAAUAUUAUAUCCUUCUUUCCUUAUUUAGCUGUAUGUCAUCCCAUCUAAAUUGUCUAGUCGGCAUGCAUGAUACUUCAUAUGAUACUCCAACUAUGGAAGGUCUAAAGCAUUAAGACCCAAUAUAUUGGGAGUGCCCAUAUGAGAUAAACCCUCGUAUGUACCAAGAAACAUUUGCUUCCAACAAACCAGUAACCAUGGGUAACUUUUGCCUUAAAAACAUACGACAUACGUUACGCAUCCAUGAUAUAUAUUCAACAUCCCACGCUAGGGUCCCUCACAUUAAAUCUCCCUAUAGUACGCCAAGUAUAUUGGUGUUUAUGUGCGUGUAUCCUCAAUGAAAAUGUCAAUGGCAUGCAUUACCAGUCCAUACUUAAUGGCAAGAUAUAGAGAGCAUAUGUUAUCGGUGCCAAAACAUCGUGCCCGUCAUUAUAAUCGCUAGUUUUCAUAUAAUUUACGGUCCACAAGGGUGUUUGCUUAUCAUCUAUUGCUAAGUUUGCAAUAGCACGUACCUGUGUGUUCACAAGACUAUUGGCUUAGCUUCUUGUUUCUUAAUUUGUAGAAGCUUGAGCUCGUAGAGUUACGUGGAAUCUUCUCGCCCAGCAUUGCGAAUUUGACAACACAAUAAUGCCUGCAAGAUCAAGCAUUAAUUAGUUAUGAAAUCUAUGAUUUGUUCCUCAUGAAAAUGGUGUACAGAUAGAUCUCCAAUAAAAAUGGUUUUGUUAUCGUUAUUGUCACAUAUCUUCAUUUCAGGUUUUUAGAUGAUAACAAUAUAAUUGAAGGAAUACCAUAGGAGAUUGGGAAUCUUUCAAGUCUGACAAAUCUUAAACUUGAAAAUAAUCAAUUCAGUGGCUCAAUAUCCGAUUCUCUUGGCCGCUUUUCAGAACUGCAAAAUCUAUAAGGCAGACUAUGACUUGUGUUAUCUCUUAGAAUUACGGUACACUAACAAACAUAAGGGUGUGGUAACUUCAAUAGGGAUCUGAGCCAAAAUCUUCUAAGUGGAAAUAUUCUAAUCUCUUUGUCAAAUAUUACAUUUUUGAAUUCCAUGUAAGUUUUCCUUUCCAUGCUGAUAUAAGCAGAAAACUGACUAAAUGUUAUUGUUGUCAUUGCAACCCUUGUAUUCAUUUUAAUAAGCGAAUAAGACCAUUUGAACUCAAUUAUGUGAUGAUCUAUGGUUUGUGUUUUGUAACAAUCUGGCAUAAAACAAUCUUAGUGGUAAAAUACCUGAACAACUACAUGUGUCCCUAUAAAAGUAUGGCCUACCUGAACUUUAAUUAUCUCUCCAAUCCGAAUUAGUUGAGACAACCUCUAUACAAUUUCUAUAUUACACUGAAUAAGGAAUUUUAUGCACUCCUGCAAUUAACAUAAUGAGUGUAAUCAUGUGGUUCUAGGCUUCUAGCUAUACCGUCAACCACUUAAAUUGUGGUUCACACUUAAUGUCAUGCAAAGGAAACAUCAACAAUACAAGUAAUCCAGAAACCUACACGACAAUCGAUAUGGAACCCAACAUUCGGAUUGAAAAACACAUGUUUGCAUUUCAUACUAAACAUUUAUUAAUAGGUGGAUCAAGAAAAUCCACCAUAAAGGUGGUUCUCAGAAGCAUUGGUGGAGCAAUAGUUCUCCGUGUUGCUAUGUGUUUUCUAAUCUUGCGAAGAAUGCCUUGCUGGAGUGAUUUGUUUUUGAUGUUCCGGGUUAGUUAGCAUUAGGGGUAAAAUUAUUUUUGUUCAUGCAUGUUUACUGUAUUGAAAUUUUCACCACGAAAAUAAUUUCCCAUCUAUUUUAGUGGAAUUCCACAAAGAAAGGCUUUUUUCAACUAAGGACAUGAUAAACAUGUAAAUUAAAUUUAAGAUGAGCAUGCUCUAAGCCAGAUCUUGGGUCGGCACAAUAAUUCUUGUUGCACCAUCUCAUGAUUGCAAAAAUAAAUUUGAGUUAAAAAAUCUUGGAAAGGGCUCUUUCACUAAGGUUUACAAAGGAGUUCUUCCAGGCCGAGACAAUAAAGUGGUUGUCGUCAAACGAUUGGCUAAAGUAGAGAAUCAUGGACAUGAUAUGGCUUUCAAAUGAGAGGCUGAAGUUAUAAGUGUGACUAUCCACAAGAACUUACUAAAAUUGAUUGAGUAUUGCAUGGCACCAAGGGAUCACUUCUUGAUUUAUCCUUUCAUGGAGAAUUUGAGACUUUCUUCUAGUUUAGAUAAUCACAUAGAUAUGCAGGUUUAAAACCAAAUAAACCAACAUUUGAUUGAACAAGAAGAAUGAAAAUUGCUCUUGGCAUUGCCCGUGGUUUGGAAUACCUUCAUGAUAACUGCAACCCCUCGAUUAUCCAUGGUGAUAUUAAGGCUACCAAUGUCCUACUUGAUGGAAAUUUUGAAGUUGUGUUUGGAGACUUUGGACUGCCAAAGUUAAUGGACCAAGGGAAGGAAAUAAUGAUGAUAGAGAUCCCGGGAACAUUGGGCUACAUGGCUCUAGAGUACAGGAAAGACAUCAACAAAAAUCGACAUAUAUGGAUAUGGUGUCUUGAUAUUAGAGAUUGUGACGGGAAAGGGUUCAGACUUCCAUGUUAAUCUAAGCUUCUCUAUCCUAUUUUUAUUUACAAGUACUAGUGUAAACAUGAGGAAAAUGAUAUUAAUUUAGUUUGUGAAAUCGGAGUAGUAGAAGCGAUUUCAUGCUGAGUUUUUCCACACAGGCUAGUUAUAUAAUAUUACAGUUCAUCAAUUAUUACAGAUGUAGUUCAAGCAAAUUUUUCCAAGAAAACAAUUAUUAAAUACUUUACGAUAUGACCAAAACAACAAAACAGGAGCCAAAAGUAAGAAAGAAUUGAUUUACAUGAUUUAGCUUGCACAAUUUUAAUUGAUUUCAGUAUGAUAACAAUUAUUAAUUUGUAUGAUAAAUCUAAAAAACUAAAUCCAUUUUUUAAUUAUUUUGUGUGAACAUACAAAUUUGAAAAUAAGUGGUAAAAAAUCUGUAUUGGGGAUCAUGACAGUCUAGCAAACUAUGUGUAUUCACCAAUGUACAGAGUAAAAAUAGAACAUAUCUAACAAUUUAUCUUAUGAGCAAAAACUAAGAAUUUGUUUCAGCAACAUGGUGUGUAGUAUCUAGGCCACAUGUGACUAAAUUUAACAAUGACUGUAUCAUUUUAAAAGAGUUUUCUUUAGCCUCUACAAAUUUCAAAAUAUCUCACUUAUUUUUCUGGGUGACCAUUUCCACAAAGAGAGCACUACUUCACAUGUUCUCUAAGGUGCCUAAGUAGAUAAUACUAUCAUUCUAACAAAUAAAGUGUUAGAACUCGAGGAUGACAUAGCCUCCGUCCCCGGUCUCAGGUUGUAUGGGUGCUCGACCGGAGAUCGUGUGGCGUCCCGGAGUUAGGGAUUGAUAACAACAACAAUCAGACUGUGACUCAGAUUACUUUGGGUUUAAUUCAUUACUUGAUUUUUGAAGUAACAAUCUCUAUGAAUAUAUAACCAUAGUUUACAAUGACUUGAAAGGUAAGAAACUCUUAAAAGCAUUCCUAAUAGACUUGGACUCUUAACAUACUUAGAUAAAAGUCGGAGUGACCUUAUACGGGACUAAAGCCCUAUCAUACCAAAAGCCCUAAACUCUCAACAGAAAGAAACCUCUCAAGUGCUAAUCCCUAAUCUCAUGUGUCCGUGUCGACAUUUUUUCCAGUUUUAUCAGACAAAUUAAUAAUUAUUAUCCUACUGAAAUCAAUUAAAAUUGUGUGAACUAAAUCAUGUGAAUUAAUUCUUUCUUACUUUUGGCUCAUGGUUUGUCAUUUUAGUCGGAUCACAAAGUAUUUAAUACAUUGUUUUCUUGGAAAACUUCAACUCGAACUACAUCUGUAGUUGUUGAUGAGCGUUAAUAUUAUAUAACUAGCCCGUGCAAAAACUCAGCAUAAAAUUGCUUCUACAACUCCAAUUUCAUGAGCUAAAUUAAUAUCAUUUUUCUUGUUUUCACAAGUACUUGUAAAUAAAAGUAGGAUAGAGAAUCUUACAUUACCAUGGAAGCCUGGACCCUUUCCCGUCACAAUUUCUAACACCAAGACACUAUAUCCAUUUAUGUCGGUUUUCGUUGAUGUCUUUCCUGUACUCUAGAGCCAUGUAGCCCAAUGUUCCCUGGAUCUCUCUAUCGUCAUUAUUUCCUUCCCUUGGUCCAUUAACUUUGGCAGUCCAAAGUAUCCUAGCACAACUUCAAAAUUUCCAUCGAGCGGGACAUUGACAACCUUGAUAUUACCGUGGAUAAUCAGGGAGUUACAGUUAUCAUGAAGGUAUCCCAAACCAAGGGCAGUGCCAAGAGCAAUUUUCAUUAUUCUUUCCAAUCCAAUGUUGGUUCAUUUAGUUUUAUACCCUCAUAUUUAUGUGAUUUCAUUAGUUUCAUUGAUGAUAGUUCGAAGCAAACUAUAAUGAUAUAAUAUUAUCCAAGAGUGACUUUCUUGUUAUUAUUUUGUGUCUCAUACAAGUAGAGAUAAUUCAAUUAUCUUUACUUUUGACGAUGUCAGAGAUUUAUAUUUCAUCAUCCACAAAAAUAAGACAUUGUGUCUGCCAAGACUAAUAGACUGAAUAGUUCAACUGAGCAAAAGUCAUCAACAAGAUAUGAGCAUAGAAAAAUAUAUAAGAAAAGAAUCUACAAUGUGAUAUUACUUUCUAAACCAAGAAGCACUCCCUUGUGCCAUGCAAUACCCUAUCAAUUUUAGUAAGUUCCCAUGGACAGCCACACUUAUAACUUUAGCUUCUUAUUUGAAAGCCCUGUCAUGUCUAUAAUUUUCUACUUUAACCAUUUGUUUGAUGGCAACCGCCUUAUUGUCUCGGCCUGGAAGAACUCCUUUGUAAACCUCAGUUAAAGAGCCCUUGCCAAGAAAAUUUUCUUUACUCAAAUUUCUUGCUGCAAUCAUGAGAUGAUGCAAUGAGAAUUAUUGUGCCGGCCCAAGAUCUAGGUUGAGACAAUGCUCAUGUUGAAUUUAAUUUACAUGUUUAUCAUGUCCUUAGUUGAUAAAAAAGCCUUUCUUUGUAGAAUUCCACUAUAAUAGAUGAAAAAAUAUUUUCAUGGUGAAAAUUUCAAUAUGGUAAACAUGCAUUAACAAAAAUACUUUACCCCUAAUCCUAACUAACUUGGAACAUAAAAAAUAAAUCACAUCGGCAAGGCAUGCUUCGCAAGAUUAGAGCAAACAUAGCAACAACAACUAUUGCUCCACCAAUGCUUCCGAGAACCACCUUUAUGGUGGAUUUUCUUGAUCUGCCUAUUAAUAAAUGUUAAGUAUGAAAUGCAAGCAUGUGUUUUUCAAUCCGAAUGUUGGGUUCCAUAUAGAUUGUCAUGUAGGUUUCUGGAUUACUUGUAUUGUUGAUGUUUCCUUUGCAUGACAUUAAGUGUAAACCACAAUUUAAGUGGUUAUUUUCUUAUUAAAAUAAAUACAAGGCUUGCAAUGACAACAAUAACAUUCAGUCAUUUUUCUUAUUCUAUAAGCAUGGAAUUCAAUGAUGGAAUAUAUUUGACAAAGAGAUUGGAAUAUUUCCACUUAGAGGAUUUUGGCCGAGAACCCUAUUGAAGUUACCACACCCUUAUGUUUAUUAGUUAAUUGUAAUACUAAGAGAUAAAGCAAGUCAUGGUCUGACUUACAAAUUUUGCAGUUUCGAAAUGUGCUCAAGAAAAUCGGAUAUUGAGCCAUUGAAUUGAUUAUUUUCAAGUUUAAGAGUUGUCAAACUUAAAAGAUUCCCAAUCUCCUGUGUUAUUUCUCCAGUUGUAUUAUUAUCAUCUAAAAACCUGAACCGAAGAUAUAUGACAAUAACGAUAGUAAAACCAUUUUUAAUGAAUAUCUAUCAAUAUACCAUUUUCAUGAGGGAAAAAUCAUAUAUUCCAUAAGUAAUUGAUUCUUGAUCUUACAGUCAUUGUAGUGUUGUCAACUUCGCAAUGUUGGGCGACAAGAUUCCACUUAACCCCGACGAGCUCAAGCUUCUACAAAUUCAGAAAUGAGAAGCUAAGCCAAUAGUCUUGUGAACACAUGUACAUGCUAUUACAAACAUAGUAAUAGAUGAUAAGAAAACACCCUUGUGACCAAAAAAAUAUGAAACUAGCGAUUAUAAUGACGAGCAUGAUGUUUUGCACCGAUAACAAAUGCUCCUUAUAUUUUUACCAUUAUGUCUGGACUGGGAAUGGAUGCCAUACACAAUUUCGUUGAGGAUACACACACAUGAACACCAAUAUACCCGGCGUACUAUAGGGAGAUUUAAUGCAGGGAGGCCCUGCUGGCGUGGGAUGUUGAAUAUCAUGGACGUGUAAUGUGUGCCGUAUGUUUUUAAGGCAAACGUUACCCAUCGUUAAUGGUUUGCUGGAAGCAAAUGUUUCGGGGUACAGGCCGUUGAGGGUGUGUCCCAUAAGGGCACUCCCAAUGUAUUGGGUCUUAACGCUUUAGAUUUCCCAUAGUUGGAGUAUCAUAUGAAGUAUCAUGCAUGUACACUAGGCAAUUUAGAUGAGGUGUCAUACAAUUAAAUGAAGGAAGAAAUGAUUCGAUAUCAUGAUAUGAUACCAUAGUAUAAUAAAUGGCGUGUUAAUAUGUGUCGUACAAAACAGUAAAUGAGGUUAUCUAUGAUACUAUGCACACUACGCGCAACCUUGUGGGUAGUAGAUUUGCUUUAGAGACAAACACCACAAUGCAUUAUAUCUUAGAUAUUGUAUCUAAAUGAUAUUGCAUUUAAUUAAUUCAGGGGUUAUAUUUUUAUCUCAAUCUUGUGGCGUAAUUCGGAAGAGAAGGUAAGGAGUGAAAAAUACGGAGAUAUGUCACACAAAAGUAUAUUACACUGCAUAGGAAAACCAGCCAAGAGCCAUAUCUCCACUAUCAUACAACUCCCCUCUCUCUCUUUUCUUUAAAUACAAUGCCACCUUGGCAUUUUGCCAAUGAUACCAUGCUACUGUGAGAGCCAAGCAUUAGGAGUACCCUCAAUGAUUCCAGCUUCUUAGACCGUGGUGGUAGAAAAAGUGAGUUGAGAAUCCAAGAGAAAGAGCAGGAUUCGUUGACUGGAAGAUGAAAAUGCAUGUCUGAGGAGCGUUGGGCCUUAGGGACCAGAGGAUGACAAAUGCACCAGAGAUUUUUAAAAAAUAUUUUUCAGUUGGAUUUUUGAAAGUUAAUUAACUAAUAAAUCAGUGCAAAUUACACGCUUCACAUCAACCUAGAAUUCAUCACGCAUGAUUAUUGGAUAUGAGUAUGACUAACAGGGACAACCUUUUUAAUUUUGUUAUUAAAAAACAAAACAAGCACGAGCCCUUUCCGAGAAAAAAAAUACAGGCACAAACUCUAUCAACAAAAAGACAAAAAACUAUAAAACACAAACUAGGCUUACAAGGCUCACUGGAUUUUGUGGACAAACUAGGCAAAGUAUGAUUGAAAUUUGAACAUGAACAUAAAAGUAGAAAAGCUCAGACCAGUUGAAACGAACAACUUCGUUUGGCCAAAACAUAUACUACGUCUGUCAAUCAGGUAUUGAUGUUGUCACCUCGCCGAGCAACUAAAUUAACUGACACUACAAGGGAGGAUGUUGAGAUCCUCUGUGUAUCAAGGAAAAGUUGGUAUCAGACACAAAGGGUAUACUUUACUCAAAAUGUGCGAGAUUAUUUCCUCUGUUCAAAGGAUAGAAUGUAAACAUACUGUAACUGCCUUUGGCAGGGACUGGUUUAGUGCAGUUACACAAGAGAUGAUUAGGUUAGGCUUCACUUACAUUUCGACCACGUUGCCGUCAGGAUCACACAUGACAAUAGCAAUAGUACUACAUGCAGUAUCUAGAUGGCGAUUCCAGUCUUCUAGGACACCACGACUGUCAUUAAGCAGCAUCUUCACCUCAAACAGAGCCUGGACUGGAGAAAGGCAAGUUUUAUUAGUAAAUAAAAGGUAAAUACUCAAUCAAAGAGAACUAUUAAGUUUGGUGAAUAGUUCUGGCGAACAUCUAUUGCAUGUUUAAUAUGGACCGUAACUGAUGUAGAGCUUGCAAAAAGAUAUAAUACAAUCGUAAAACAUAUAACACGAAAAGGUCAGGUCAGGCAAUAAACUGAUUAAGAACCAUAAAAAAACUGAUUAAGAUUUAUUCUCUGCCCUCAGGAUAACCAAGGGAAGCUCAUGCUUAAGCUUGUUCUACCACUCAGAAGCUCAUGCUUAAGUGUCUGCAUUUUUAAAGACUAUCCCAUUGCGCGAAGCGAAUGUGCACCAGGGCACUAGAAUGAAAAUGCUGUGAUUUCACACCAAAAAAAGGAUAUGCAUUCAUCUCUUCUUAUGGUUGUUUUCUCGACAUUGCUAAUUCACACAAUUGACAACGACACGUGCGGGGAUCCAAAAUCCAGUUAAGUGUUUAUAUUUUCGAAAGAGUCUAUUCUGCAGCCCCUUGAAAAGAAAAGUCUAUUCUACAUCACUUUUUUUUGCGUCACUACUAAUGUGUGACAUCUUCUGGUCAAAAUUCUCAAACUGAAUAUGCAGUUCACUUGUCCAGUUACUUUAUGUGCUGAAGGUCAAAAAACCCAGUGUAAAGUUCUUACCCUCUUGAUCAAACAUCUGAUAUGCAACAGACUGUAAGAACCCCAGGAAGAUUAAUUCAUAAGCUAGCUUCAUGGUUUCCGAAAGCUGAUAUCAGCUUUUUCUGGAUAGAAGAACAAAGGAUCGUUGCUGAUUAUAAUCUUAACUCUGUUUGCUUCACAGAACAGAGGAAUGUGUCAGUGCCAGUCUGCUAAAUACCUGCAUUAUUGUGGAUCAAAAUAAAGGGCAUACGAAACACAGCAGAUGAUGACAUCAACUGAGAACAGUACUCCCCCCUUCAACAAUGUAGUGCAUAUUUUGUUUUUUCAAAGUCAAAUGUUUCUAUGUUUGACCAAGUUUUUAGCAUAUUAAUAUCUAAAGUACUGAAUAAAUAAAAUAUAAAGUACACUUCAUAAUGAAUUUAAUGAUACUAAUUUGUAUUGUCGAUGUUGAUAAUUUUUUCUUGGCUUUUAGAAAACAAAAUAUGCACUGUAUUUUUAGAAUGGAGGGAGUAUGAUAAAUACUAUAACCGGAAAGCAAGUACUCCGUAAAUCAGAGCAGAUGGUCGAUGGCUUAAAUUUAUAUUAUAAUGUAGCGACUACGUGCCAACUAGUUAUUUUUUGGGGUCCUCGGAAGCAUGGUGGGUGCUUUGCGGUGCGUGUGAGGUGUUUGGCGGCGGCAUUGUGUGCAGCGUUUCACCUAUUCUCCGCCGGUCUUCGUCCUGUGGUAGUGCUCCUUCUGCUUGGAGAUGGACUAGCGUAGAUGGUGGUCGUCGUUUGGUGCCUUGAUGGCGUCGAUGGCGGAGGAUCCUACCAAGGUUGGCACCUCAAUCUGCUCUGAAGAUGGACUAGUGGAAGAUGGCGGCGACGACACAUGUGAGUGCGUCAGACCGGAUUGUGCCCCGAACCCGGUAUGUGGCUCGGUCGGGGCCUCCGGCUUUAGAUGUUAGGCUUAGGUGAGAGGUCUGGGUAUUUGGUCCAGCUUGCACCCCCUUCAUCAUAUGGAUAGGAGUAGUGGCAGAUGUUGCCAAGAUGGCGGAUUCAGGCAUAUUGUUGUACUACUUUGUAAGGUCCUCGAGAAUAAUCAAUAAAAUGGCCGUAUGCAUCUCCCAGAUGCAGAGGCCGGGGGUCAUCCUCCUUUUCUAAAAAAAAAAAAGUUAUUUUUUGGGAAAUUAAAAGAAGAAACUAGAAUGGUAUAUAAAAACGCAACAUGGGAGAGGUCAAAACCCGGAUCAAAAAAGAAAGAAAGGUCAAAGCCCCACCACCAUGUCUCACACACUACUAAUGCUGCCUUUCUUCCUUCUCCAAACCUAGUGGAGCCAUAGAGACCAAGAACAACCGUAAAAAAAGUCAAAAACAGGCGAUGAAAAUCUGUCUCCCCCUGCAUCCAUCCACAAAAAAUCUUAUGUCUCUAUGAAGUAUUGGGAGCUUACAUGCGUGGAGGAUGUCCUGCUGCUCAACCUCGGCUCUGUUUGAAGUGAAGAUGAUGCUUAAUGACAGUCGUGGUGUCUUAGAAGAGCCAGGCGACUAUGUCUACGCUGGCCAUUAAGCAUCGUCUUUGCCUAGGACACCACGACUGUCAUUAAGCAUCGCCUUCACCCCAAACAGAGCCCAGAAUGGAUCCGGUAGCCAGGCGACUAUGUCUACGCUGCGAUGUGGUACCCUUGCUUGAUGUCUACGCUGCAGCUAGUUUCUGAAGUUGGGUUCCUUUUGAUUCAGGUUACCAGUUCUUCAUGGACGAGGAUGCGGAUCGAGUGGCAGAGCCGGCCUCGAUGUGGUGCUCACAAUCGCCGGUUCGCGCCCCGGUUGGAUUCUCGCCGGCCGCGCUCACCGGCGAACCUAGGGGAUUUAUCUGUUGUUGCCGUGUGGAGAGGAGUGAGAGAGUGAGCGGCGUGGGUGGGUGAGAUGUGUUCUCUAUUCUUGCACACUAGGUGCUCCUUUUAUACUAGUCUCUCCCGUCCGCGAGGGGCA